UUCCGCCAGAAAAUUACGAGCGAAAGCCUAAAACUCAAAAGACUUGACGGUGUCCCAACCUUCCUAGAGGAGCCUGUUCCAUAAUCGACAACCCACGAUACACCUAACCACCUUUAGAACAUUAUUCAGCCUAUAUACCGCCGUCGCGCAGCCUACCUUUUAAAAGAAUAUAAGCAAGCGAAAUAGUAAAAUACUAAUAAGUCAGGUCAAGGUGUAGCUUAUAUGGUGGAGGAAAUGGGCUACAUUGUUUAUACUAAACCACACGAACUUACUAACCCCACUGAAAAAGAAAAUGAAGGCGGAUUUAGCAGUAAUUUAAACAAGAAUAUUUAAAUUAA
rnacentral:rRNA from 1 species